UACGGAGGGUGCGAGCGUUACUCGGAAUUACUGGGCGUAAAGCGUGCGUAGGCGGUUUUAUAAGGCGGGGGUGAAAGCCCCGGGCUUAACCUGGGAAUUGCAUUCGAUACUAUCUGACUCGAGUUUGGGAGAGGGAAGCGGAAUUCCGGGUGUAGCGGUGAAAUGCGUAGAUAUUCGGAGGAACAUCAGUGGCGAAGGCGGCUUCCUGGCCUAAGACUGACGCUGAGGUGCGAAAGCGUGGGGAGCAAACAGG
rnacentral:rRNA from 1 species